CAACGGUUCCUCUUAGGGACUGGAGCUCAUCAGAAUCCUGAGCGGAAGUAAGCUGAGCCCUGUCAGCCAACUACCUCUGAAGACGGGCAACUUCGUCGGUCGCCACCCUGAGUCUCCCUUUAUAUUCAUCCACCUGCCUGCGCCAACCGGCCCGAUGCACGUCGUAGCUCAUCUCGGCGUCUUGAAGCUGCUGCUGAAGGGCGGAGACCCUCUUCGACCACUCCCGAUCGCCGUCGGCCCGGGCCAAGAGCCGGGAUGAACUUCC
rnacentral:lncRNA from 1 species